rnacentral:misc_RNA from 1 species
GAUGAAGAACGCAGCGAAAUGCGAUAAGUAAUGUGAAUUGCAGAAUUCAGUGAAUCAUCGAAUCUUUGAACGCACAUUGCGCCCCUUGGUAUUCCGAGGGGCAUGCCCGUUCGAGCGUCAUUAUACCCCUCAAGCCUAGCUUGGUGUUGGGGCCUGCUGUUACCGGCAGCCCUUAAAAUCAGUGGCGGUGCCAUCUGGCUCUAAGCGUAGUAAUACUUCUCGCUACAGGGUCCCGGUGGAUGCUUGCCAUCAACCCCUAAUUUUCUAUGGUUGACCUCGGAUCGGGUAGGGAUACCCGCUGAACUUAAGCAUAUCAUAAGCGGAGGA